GAACCGCUAAAAUUUCCUGGGUGUGUGCCGGUUCACGGAAGAGAUCUCAUUGAGCCGGUUCAAAACAGAAAAGAUGAUGCUUACAGAUGGGUUCUUCACAUUUGCAAGCAAUACCCAUUGGCUGCUGGGAUCCUUGUUAAUAGUUUUAUAGAUCUGGAAGCAGGUGCUUUUAAGGCUUUAAUGGAGGAUAAAACCGGUACGCCCCCCAUAUACCCGGUUGGACCACUCACACGAACCGAUUCAACCAGUGAGGUUGCUGGUGAAUUUGAGUGCUUGAGGUGGUUGGAUAAGCAACCAAAUGGGUCAGUGCUCUUUGUCUCCUUUGGAAGUGGCGGGACCCUUUCUCAUGAUCAGUUGAUCGAAUUAGCCCUGGGUUUAGAGAUGAGUGGUCAGAGAUUUCUCUGGGUUGUUAAGAGCCCAGACGAUACAUCUGCAAAUGCAACUUACUUUGGUGUAGAAAAAGCUACUGAUCCUUUUGAUUUUUUACCAAAGGGAUUCUUGGAUAGGACCAAGGGGUUGGGUAUGGUGGUGCCCAAUUGGGCUCCUCAGAUGCAAGUCUUGAGCCACUGGUCAACAGGAGCGUUCUUGAGCCAUUGUGGGUGGAACUCUAGUUUGGAAAGCAUUGUAAAUGGAGUGCCCUUAAUUGCGUGGCCACUUUAUGCAGAGCAAAAAAUGAAUUGUGUGUUACUAGUUGAGGAUUUGAAGGUAGCAUUGAGGGUGAAAGUGAAUGACAAUGGGCUCGUGGGUAGAGAAGAUAUUGCAAAUUAUGCAAGGACCAUUCUUCAAGAGGAGGAAGGGAAAUUACUUGGGAAAAGGAUGAAAGAACUUAAAAAUGCUGCUGUAAAGGUUUUAAGCCAGGAUGGAUCUUCUACAAAGUCACUAGCCUAUGUAGCCAACAUAUGGAAGAACCAAAGAAAGUAACAUGUAUGUAUAAAUUGUUCUGCAUUUCUUUGCUUCAGUAAUUGGUUGUGUUCACGUAACUAGCUUAGGGUUCUUUAGGCUUCUUUUCAAGCAGCAAGUAGUUUGUACUUUGUAAAGCCUGAUGCUUUGAGUCUUGGCUACCGUUAGUUUUCGAUU
rnacentral:misc_RNA from 1 species